GACGAACGCUGGCGGCGUGCUUAACACAUGCAAGUCGAGCGGAAAACUUCGGUUUUCAGCGGCGGACGGGUGAGUAACACGUGGGUAACCUGCCUCAUAGAGGGGAAUAGCCUUUCGAAAGGAAGAUUAAUACCGCAUAAGAUUGUAGUAUCGCAUGAUACAGCAAUUAAAGGAGUAAUCCGCUAUGAGAUGGACCCGCGUCGCAUUAGCUAGUUGGUGAGGUAACGGCUCACCAAGGCGACGAUGCGUAGCCGACCUGAGAGGGUGAUCGGCCACAUUGGGACUGAGACACGGCCCAGACUCCUACGGGAGGCAGCAGUGGGGAAUAUUGCACAAUGGGGGAAACCCUGAUGCAGCAACGCCGCGUGAGUGAUGACGGUCUUCGGAUUGUAAAACUCUGUCUUCAGGGACGAUAAUGACGGUACCUGAGGAGGAAGCCACGGCUAACUACGUGCCAGCAGCCGCCGUAA
rnacentral:rRNA from 1 species